rnacentral:rRNA from 1 species
UCUGGCUCAGGAUGAACGCUAGCUACAGGCUUAACACAUGCAAGUCGAGGGGCAUCAUGGAGUUUGCUUGCAAACUCUGAUGGCGACCGGCGCACGGGUGAGUAACGCGUAUCCAACCUUCCCUAUAGUAGAGGAUAGCCCGGCGAAAGUCGGAUUAAUACUCUAUGUUUUCCGUUGCAGACAUCUAAGAUGGAACAAAGGCUUGCCGCUAUAGGAUGGGGGAUGCGUCUGAUUAGGUAGUCGGCGGGGUAACGGCCCACCGAGCCAUCGAUCAGUAGGGUUCUGAGAGGAAGGUCCCCCACAUUGGAACUGAGACACGGUCCAAACUCCUACGGGAGGCAGCAGUGAGGAAUAUUGGUCAAUGGGCGAGAGCCUGAACCAGCCAAGUAGCGUGCAGGACGACGGCCCUAUGGGUUGUAAACUGCUUUUAUGCGGGGAUAAAGUUCACUACGUGUAGUGUUUUGUAGGUACCGCAUGAAUAAGGACCGGCUAAUUCCGUGCCAGCCGCUGC